GCCCUUGUAGCUCAGCUGGUAGAGCGCCUGAUUUGUAAUCAGGAGGUAAUAGGUUCGAGUCCUGUCGGGGGCA
rnacentral:tRNA from 2 species